GACAGAGGGGGCAAGCGUUGCUCGGAAUUACUGGGCGUAAAGGGCGCGUAGGCGGAAUGGCAAGUCGGUCGUGAAAUCCUUCGGCUCAACCGAAGAACGUCGAUCGAAACUGCCGUUCUUGAGGAUUGCAGAGGAGACUGGAAUUCCCGGUGUAGCGGUGAAAUGCGUAGAUAUCGUAAGGAAGACCAGUGGCGAAGGCGGGUCUCUGGACAGUUCCUGACGCUGAGGCACGAAGGUCAGGGGAGCAAACGGG
rnacentral:rRNA from 1 species